rnacentral:snRNA from 1 species
GUACUCGCUUCGGCAGCCCAUAUACUAAAAUUGAAACGAUACAGAGAAGAUUAGCAUGGCCCCUGCGCAAGGAUGACA